UCUCCGUUGGUGAACCAGCGGAGGGAUCAUUACCGAGUUUACAACUCCCAAACCCCAUGUGAACCAUACCAAACUGUUGCCUCGGCGGGGUCACGCCCCGGGUGCGUCGCAGCCCCGGAACCAGGCGCCCGCCGGAGGGACCAACCAAACUCUUUCUGUAGUCCCCUCGCGGACGUUAUUUUUACAGCUCUGAGCAAAAAUUCAAAACGAAUCAAAACUUUCAACAACGGAUCUCUUGGUUCUG
rnacentral:misc_RNA from 1 species